AUCUGAGGACUCAACGGUCCGCAAUGUCCGAGCUGCCCGGAGAAAGCAGGAUCCCGGACCUGUGCCCUAUGAACGGCGUCGGCAACGUCCUGCAGGCGGGAGUGGGCGGAGGCAAUCGGGUCCCCGAAGCCCUGGAAGGCCCGCUGGCCAGAGCCGCCCGGACCAUGGCGCGGGCUCCGGGCCUGGCUCCCGGGCCGUUCCCCGGCAUGGCGGGCCUGAUGGCCAUACCGCACGUCCCCCCGCCGCUCCGCCUUCUAGAGCUGCACGAGCAGCGGAUGUUCGAACACUACCUGCACACCAACCCCCUGAUCCCCACCAGGCUGCUCCGCGAAAUCGAGGAGCGUCGCCGGCUGUUCGUGGAGGGCUGCAGGGCCAGGGAGGCGGCCUUCGACGCCGACCCCCCGCAGUUGGACUCGGAGGCCCGCGCCUUCACGCUGGCGCUCACGGCCUCCGACGCCCACGGCCCCACCGCAGACUGAGGGUUGGCCUUUGCCUAUAAUCUCAGUCCUCAGGAGGGAGGAAGCCUGAGGAUCCAGAGUUCAAGAUCAUCCUCCGCUAUGUAGCGAGUUGGAGGCCAGCCUGGGCUACAGGAGACUCUGUCUUUUAAAAAUAAUAAAACAAAAAAGAUUGGUGGCCAGGAAGUCAGGUGACUCUUAGGAUCAAGGGCAAAGGCAGAUGUCCAGGCAAAUGUCAUGAGGUGGGAAAUCCAAGCCAGAAUACAGCCAAGGGCUGGGUGGAAUGAAGCAGGCCCAGAAAGAGAUGGACACUCGAGGCUUGAGGCUGACAAGCAAAGAGGACUCUUCUGACUUCCACCUUGUGACUGUCAGCAAUCUUUCCCUCCCCUGCUUUCGUUGAAAAUCAUGUUUUUUUUUUCCACAGGGAAGGACGAUGGUUUUGCAAAGAUGAAGUCUUAAGAAUUACCAAUGAAAAGACGGAGAUGCGGAAAGAAACCAGGGAAAUGUGAUUGUUAGAUUCAGUUGCUUCUGGGUUUUAUUGGAGUAAGAAGAAGGCUGUUGAAACAACGUGGACAUUUCAGAAUUGUGGGGUCACCUCAUUGUCAGCUGACAAGCUCAAUGUAUCGUUAAUUCUUGUGUUUGGUGUUCUGUAGAUAAGUUGUAAAUAUUCAGAUAGGGAAAAUCUAUGUGCGUUGUGAGAUGAAUAUUUUUCAAGACCUUGUGUAAUUGUAUCCAUGUGGAAAAAGAUGAGUUAGUAUUUAAAGGAUACGGACACAAGACUCAAAAUUAGCAAAAGAUACUAAGGGAAGGUUAAACUUUUCUGCCAAAUUGAAAACAGGUGUCCAUACAGAUUUGGGUUAGGGUGGGAAGUUGUUUUCUGUAGGGUCUUCAAAACCAUUUUAUAAGGCGUAUAUGAAUUGGUACCAAUCCAGUUAUCCCCCAAUCCUGGGUGCUGAAGAUGGAUCCCAGGCCUUGCCCUGCUCCCAGUCCUCCUGAAUCAAGGUAAGAUAGGAUCAUGGCCCAGUGGUCAAAAAUGUCCGCUGCUCAGCCUUGUUACUGAGUUUGAUCCCGGGACCCACGAGGUGGAAGAAGAAACCACACCCAUGUCCUCCGAGCAGCACGCACACGUGCACACACUCAUGCAAUGUAAAGAAAUCUACAUAGUACAUAUAUCGGCAUCUUGGGUUCUUAUGUUACAAUGGAAGUGAUCCUCCAUCGUUUUGUCCUUAAUGACUACUAUCGGAGUCUGUAUCUUAACUUAUCUAAUGAACUAGUUGUCUUCUGGACAUCUGGAUUGUUUGGAAA
rnacentral:lncRNA from 1 species